GGCGGCAGGCUUAACACAUGCAAGUCGAGCGGGGAAGGGUAGCUUGCUACCUAACCUAGCGGCGGACGGGUGAGUAAUGCUUAGGAAUCUGCCAUUUAGUGGGGGACAACAUUCCGAAAGGAAUGCUAAUACCGCAUACGUCCUACGGGAGAAAGCAGGGGAUCUUCGGACCUUGCGCUAAAUGAUGAGCCUAAGUCGGAUUAGCUAGUUGGUGGGGUAAAGGCCUACCAAGGCGACGAUCUGUAGCGGGUCUGAGAGGAUGAUCCGCCACACUGGGACUGAGACACGGCCCAGACUCCUACGGGAGGCAGCAGUGGGGAAUAUUGGACAAUGGGCGGAAGCCUGAUCCAGCCAUGCCGCGUGUGUGAAGAAGGCCUUUUGGUUGUAAAGCACUUUAAGCGAGGAGGAGGCUACUGGUACUAAUACUACUGGAUAGUGGACGUUACUCGCAGAAUAAGCACCGGCUAACUCUGUGCCAGCAGCCGCGGUAAUACAGAGGGUGCGAGCGUUAAUCGGAUUUACUGGGCGUAAAGCGUGCGUAGGCGGCUUUUUAAGUCGGAUGUGAAAUCCCCGAGCUUAACUUGGGAAUUGCAUUCGAUACUGGGAAGCUAGAGUAUGGGAGAGGAUGGUAGAAUUCCAGGUGUAGCGGUGAAAUGCGUAGAGAUCUGGAGGAAUACCGAUGGCGAAGGCAGCCAUCUGGCCUAAUACUGACGCUGAGGUACGAAAGCAUGGGGAGCAAACAGGAUUAGAUACCCUGGUAGUCCAUGCCGUAAACGAUGUCUACUAGCCGUUGGGGCCUUUGAG
rnacentral:rRNA from 2 species